rnacentral:rRNA from 1 species
ACAUGAAGCCGGAAUCGCUAGUAAUCGCGGAUCAGAAUGCCGCGGUGAAUACGUUCCCGGGUCUUGUACACGCCGCCCGUCACACCAUGGGAGCUGGUAACACCCGAAGUCAGUAGUCUAACCGCAAGGAGGACGCUGCCGAAGGUGGGAUUAGCGACUGGGGUGAAGUCGUAACAAGGUACC